rnacentral:lncRNA from 1 species
CCCUACCAACUUUACACUCUCCUCCCUUUAUUCUUAAUCUCCGUGCCCAACUCAAAAGUGCCAAGUCUAGUGGGACGGAGGGAGUAGUAUUUUUAAUUAUAUUUAGAAUUUUUAUGUAAUAAUUAAAUGAUAAUCAAUUUUAUACUAUAUAAUAAAAUAUAAAAAUAUUUUUCGUGCGUUGCACGAGUGCAAAUGCUAAUCUAUACUAUAUUUAAAAGGGAGUUCUCAAUUUAAACUUGAUUUCAAAUCAAUUUGAAACUGAUUUUAAUGGUAAUUUUGAAAAUAUUUUUAAUAUGAAGGUUAUGAAUUAAAUGAUCCAUUCACAACCCCACUAUCUCUCACUCACAUUCUCUCAUAUCUAAUUAAAGUAUUUAUUAAGUCACUAACUCACAAAAGGUUUAUUUAAAAUUCUAUAAUUUAUAAAAAGGUUUAUUUUGUUUUUCUUUAACUUUUUAUUUCUUUGUUUUGUUUUUUCUAAAAUUAUGGAAUUCGCAUAAUUAUAAUAUAUUUAAUAUGCGUAUCAAAUUAAAGAUCACGAUAAGAGCUUUAAUUUGAUAUAGCUUAUGUAAAUAUUUCAUUUGAAAUAUAAAAGUUAUAUUUAUUUAAAGAUUAAAAUUUAAAAAAAAAAAUUCUCUCUCUUCUCUCAUCUUUUUUUGAAUAAAUCAAUUGUUUUAAU